CUAGAGAAAAGGGGAAUGAACAAG
rnacentral:piRNA from 1 species